rnacentral:rRNA from 1 species
AACGCUGGCGGCGUGCCUAAUACAUGCAAGUCCAACGCAUUGUGGUUGAAAUGAUAUGAAGAACUUGUUCAGAUUUGAUUUUCAACAUUGCAAUGAGUGGCGAACGGGUGAGUAACACGUGGGAAACCUACCUCUUAGCAGGGGAUAACAUUUGGAAACAAAUGCUAAUACCGUAUAAUAAUUAAAACCGCAUGGUUUUAGUUUAAAAGAUGGUCUUGCUAUCACUAAGAGAUGGUCCCGCGGUGUAUUAGUUAGUUGGUGAGGUAAUGGCUCACCAAGACAAUGAUACAUAGCCGAGUUGAGAGACUGACCGGCCACAAUGGGACUGAGACACGGCCCAUACUCCUACGGGAGGCAGCAGUAGAGAAUCUUCCACAAUGGACGAAAGUCUGAUGGAGCAACGCCGCGUGUGUGAUGAAGGGUUUCGGCUCGUAAAACACUGUUGUAAGAGAAGAAUGACAUUGAGAGUAACUGUUCAAUGUGUGACGGUAUCUUACCAGAAAGGAACGGCUAAAUACGUGCCAGCAGCCGCGGUAAUACGUAUGUUCCAAGCGUUAUCCGGAUUUAUUGGGCGUAAAGCGAGCGCAGACGGUUAUUUAAGUCUGAAGUGAAAGCCCUCGGCUCAACCGAGGAAUUGCUUUGGAAACUGGAUAACUUGAGCGCAGUAGAGGAAAGUGGAACUCCAUGUGUAGCGGUGAAAUGCGUAGAUAUAUGGAAGAACACCAUGGCGAAGGCGGCUUUCUGGACUGUA